rnacentral:rRNA from 1 species
UACGGGGGGGGUAAGCGUUGUUCGGAAUUACUGGGCGUAAAGGGCUCGUAGGCGGCCAACUAAGUCAUACGUGAAAUCCCUCAGCUUAACUGGGGAACUGCGUGUGAUACUGGAUGGCUUGGAUUUGGGAGAGGGAUGCGGAAUUCCAGGUGUAGCGGUGAAAUGCGUAGAUAUCUGGAGGAACACCGGUGGCGAAGGCGGCGUUCUGGACCUCUUCUGACGCUGAGGCGCGAAAGCCAGGGGAGCAAACGGG